AUUGAACGCUGGCGGCAGGCCUAACACAUGCAAGUCGAACGAGUGGCGGACGGGUGAGUAAUGUCUGGGAAACUGCCUGAUGGAGGGGGAUAACUACUGGAAACGGUAGCUAAUACCGCAUACCAUCAGAUGUGCCCAGAUGGGAUUAGCUUGUUGGUGGGGUAACGGCUCACCAAGGCGACGAUCCCUAGCUGGUCUGAGAAGAUGACCAGCCACACUGAAACUGAGACACGGUCCAGACUCCUACGAGAGGCAGCAGUGGGGAAUAAUGCAGAAUGGGCGCAAGCAUGAUGCAGCCAUGCAGCGUGUAUGAAGAAGGCCUUAGGGUUGUAAAGUAGUAUCAGCUGAGAGGCGUUAACCACAGAAGAAGCACCGGCUAACUCAGUGCCAGGCGCCGCGGUAAUAC
rnacentral:rRNA from 1 species